AAUAAUCCCAUGCCCACCUGAUGAGAAAUGGCGAAGAUUAAACACCACGCUCAAAAAGCAGACGCAGCUCCAUAAAUUCACAAACACCAACCUAUAAAUAACUUGCUGGUUAUGCAGCCAGCCUCCUGUGAUCCCGAAAUCUUACAUCUUACAGCUGCCAUCUGUCUCCAUGGUGAUGGCAUCACAUGACGCAGGGCCCAUUCAUUCAUAGCCAUUUCAGCUUGACAGAAAGGAAAAAGGGGCCAGGAAAGGAAAGAGGGGAGGCAGGUAAGAACUAAUUUGGGAAACAUGACACUGGGGAUCUGCAGGGAGGAAACUUCAAAAUGUGGGAAGAGAUUGACGGAUCUGGCUCAGUUUGCAUGCUAAAGAGGGAUUGUUUGAUAACUUGUGCUUAAUCUGAGCGAAGAUAACCCAUUUCAAUAAAUCAGGGUUAGACUUAGAGAUGCCAGGAGAUCUUGGCAAGGAGAGUUUCAUCAAGUGUUGAUGAUUUGGCUACGAUGCUGAAAUCACAUCUGUCAGAUUUACCUCUGUAUUGUCAAAAUAACCCCAAAGAAGCCAUCAGGGGGAAUAGAAGAUAUUUUACUGCCUCUAGCAGGGCCCCUGGUGGUGGCGCAGUGUGUUAAAGCGCUGAGCUGCUGAACUUGCAGACCGAAAGGUCCCAGGUUCAAAUCCCGGGAGCGGAAUGAGUGCCCGCUGUUAGCCCCAGCUCCUGCCAACCUAGCAGUUCGAAAACAUGCAAAUGUGAGUAGAUAAAUAGGUACCUCUCCGGCGGGAAGGUAACGGCGCUCCAUGCAGUCAUGCUGGCCACAUGACCUUGGAGGUAUCUAUGGACAAUGCCGGCUCUUCGGCUUAGAAAUGGAGAUGAGCACCAACCUCUAGAGUCGGUCACGACUGGACUUAACGUCAGGGGAAAACCUUUACCUUACCUAGUAGCAGAACCCUGAAGUGGAAAGAGAGAUCAUGUUCCCCCUUUACCUUGGCUUCCAUCCACCCAUUCCCCACCAUUAUCCCUAGCCAUGCCCUUUAUGGUGCACCCAUACUGUAGAAUUAAUAGAUUUUGAUACCACUUUAAUUGCCAUGGCUCAAUGCAAUGGAAUCAUGGGAGCUGGGUUUUAUAAACUUCUCUGCCAAAGAGUGCUGGUGCCUCACCUAACUACAAUCCCCAGGACCCCAUAGCAUUGAGUCAUGACAGUUAAAGUGGUGUCAAAAUGCAUGAAUUCUACUAUGUAGAUUAUCCCUAUGUCAGUACUAUCAAAAGUAGUGGCUCCUGGACCAGUGCUGGUCCACAAACUAUUGGCUACCAGCAGAUGGCAAUUUUCAAGAAAAAACAGUUGUCGCUAAUACACACAAAUAUGGUACCAACUUUGGCAUGUUGAAUAGUCUGAGAAGCACUCCUCUGUGCCCCAUGGACCAUAAGAUAGCAGUGCUCUGUGGAGAAUAAUAACAGCUGGACUAAAUGUCUGGUUCUAAAAGCCAAGUAUUGUGGGCUAGAGAUCCUAUCCUGUACUGCCAUCUGACAGAUCUUCAUUGGAAAACUAAUUCAGUUAGACACCACUUUAAUUCCCAUGGCUCUGUGAUAUGCAAUCCUUGGAUUUGCAGUUUGGUGAGGCACCAGCACUCUGUGGCAGAGAAGGGUAAAAACCUUGUGAAUCUACAGCUCACACAAUUCUAUACAGUUGAGCUAUAGCAGCUGUAGUGGUUUCAAAUUGCAUUAAUUCUACAGUGUAGAUGCACUCUGUAGGAGGACCAGCCCUGGCUUGACGCAAAGAAAAAGAUGGCCUCUCUCUCUCUCUCUCUCUCUCUCUCUCUCUCUCUCUCUCCCCCCCCCCCCCCCCCCGCCCAUUCUAGUCAGCUCAGAAUCUGACUAGACUGGCAAUUUAAUCUUAUGAUGGUGCUGCCUAAGUGUCUUUUACAACACUUAAGGGCUGUAGGCUCACUUAUAGGACAUAGGCUAAACCACCUGGCACACAUAACACUGUCCUCCAUCACAAUGCCACUGCAUCCCUCCUUUUUCCAGGAAUUAUGCAGGCUAUUAUAAUAUGAGUGUAUAGUAGGCACAGGAAUAGAUCAUAAGAUAAACAGGAAAACUUAAAGAAAUCUACUGGAGUUGGUCUAUACUUGGUAACAAGAGCCCUAAAUAUGUCAUCUAUCAGGGAUAGCUAGCGACUGUUAUUGGAGUGGGUAUCUCAUGACAAAAGGACAAAGAGAACACUUUCUUGAAGAAGUGGAAUGUAACUAUAUCAGGUAAGAAGGAAGCAAAAGGCUUAAGUAUAUUUUUCAUGUCAGGGGUGACUUGAGAAACUGCAGGUACAUAAGAUCCAAAGAAAGGCAGAGGAGAAACCACUGGUGUGUGUGUGUGGGGGCGGGGGGGGGGGGGGUAUCUGACUCCCUUUUGGUCUUAAUGUUUCUUUGCCUCUGUUUGGUGCCUAUGGUAGAUAUUUCACUCCACCUACUGCUAGGUCCAAGCCUGGCCAUUUAUAUUAGGCCAGUGACCUAUUUAUAUCCUUGUCUUUUCAGUCUAGAGACACUGCAAAAGGAAAGCUCCAUGUAUUAAAAUUUUCACAACGUAAACAUCUCCCUGUUCUGAAAUGGAGCUCUUCAUUAGUGCCGUAGAGAGAUGGAGAAGAGAUAGGAAAAUAUUUCCCCCUUUGGAAGUUGCUGCUUGAUGCAAUAACUGUAACUGUUUCAUCUCAAGGCCAACCCUGACCCAAAACAGCUCUUAUUUUUCAACAGUUCAUAGUCAUGAACUGUUUAAUAGUGACUUCCCUUCCCUAUGGACUCCCAUAUGCUCUAGUUAUUCCUAUUAGGGGUUGAACAAGAUCGAGAUAUCUUAGGAGCUUAUUGCACCAUUCUUUUAUGCCACAUUAUUCUACAUGAAAUCUGCUACAGCCAACCUUGCAAUUGGAUUGUUGUGAGUUUUCAGGGCCAUGUUCCAGAAGCAUUCUCUCCUGACGUUUUGCCCACAUCUAUGGCAGGCAUCCUCAGAGGUUGUGAGGUAUAUUGCAAUUGUUGGCACUCUCUAUUGCACCCUGCUGUAUUUGUGCUUUAAGAAUAUGACUUGUGUGUUUUAUCUGCAUUAAUGGAGCCAAUACACUGUUUUUAAGGCAUCGAAUAGUUGCCUAUGUGUAAAGCCACCUUGAGUCCCCUCUGGCAUUGAGAAAGGCAGGGUAUAAAUGUUGUAAAUAAAUAAAUACAUUAUCAACUCUUUUACUGCUACUCAUGUUUUAUGGUUGGCUCUUCUUUUUUUAAAAAAUGAAGCCAUAAUCGUGAAUGAGAAAAACAGUAUGAUGGUAGGAUGUGUGAUAACAAUAUGAUGUUAUAACACCAACCAAACAAAUAUCCACAGCCAGAAGAGGUUGUUUAAAGGGGUUUUAGCCAUACUAUAAAAGUGUUCUUCCCUGCCUGAGCACCAGAAGCAGUCUUGGGUUUCUUUGCUAGAGAUUUCCGUGGAAAGUCUUGUGGGAGGGAGAACCUGGCCACAUCCACAUCAUGUCUAUUAAUGGAUUGUUCAUAGAAGAAAGCUCUGUGAGAUAUCUGCACCCAAACUGGUUACCGAAUUAUUGCGGGAAAAAGAGAUCCUUUCCAGCAUGGGGAAAAAACACAGAUUCACAAUUACCCUAUAAUGCAACAAUGUCUGGAAAGCAAAGAUGCCUUGUGAUAAGGCUGAAACAAAAGCAAGAUUAAUGCAUUGGUAUGACAAUGUAAUAACAUGGUGUGAUAACAACCGAAGAAGAACUCAGUUCUCAUUUUGAUUGAAUGGGGAUUGUGACUCAGACGGACAAAUCAGGAAUGACUUUGUAGUACAUUCCUAAUCUUGGGAUUUCCCACUGUGCUGGAGUACAACUCCCAUUAUUCCCCAUCAGCAGGAAGAUGGUUUUCCAUGACAGAUCUAGGGGUGUUAUGGGAGGAGAACCCUUUAAAUAAUGGUCUGGAAGAUUAUCUGCUCAGUUUUAAUGAGUCAUGGGGAUGGGGCAGGUUGGGAGGAGUGUGAGACAUCCAUAUAAUCCAGGGGCCAUAUAUUAUUAAUUCUUAUUGCAGAAUUGUAUUUAUUUAUUUAUUUUACAGUAUUUAUAUUCCGCCCUUCUCACCCUGAAGCGGACUCAGGGCGGAUUACAAUGAACAUAUAUAUGGCAAACAUUCAUUGUUAUCAGACAAACAACACACAGAGACAUUUUACAUUCCAGCUUCACGAUUCCGGCCACAGGGGGAGCUGUUGCUUCAACGUCCACUAGUGACUGUACUUCCUCAUUCCUUUUCCAACAUGUUGCUGGCAGUUUUGUGGUGUUGUUAAUUAGUUAAAUUAGCCUCCCGCAUAAAGCGUACCUAAAUUUCCUACUUGACAGAUGCAACUGUCUUUCAGGCUGCAUAGGUAACACAGCAAGCCGGGCUAUUUAAUGGUCGGGGGUUUAACCCGACCCGGGCUUCGAACUUAUGACCUCUCUGUCAGUAGUGAUUUAUUGCAGCUGGUUAAUGAUGCAAACAUGGACUCCAAUUUAUUGGCAAUAUGUGGCAAUUUGUCCUCAAAUGUUGCUCUUCCUUGUAGGAUCAGAUCAAAGUUUCUAUCUGGGCAUGUAAUCUGUCUCCCACAAUCACAAACCAGACAAUACUUCUUUGCAUUUUGCAGCAAUUGCAGUGUUUUCUGCUGGACUUUAAUUUUCAUCUAAUCAGACCAAAUUUUAGUAUUUCUUUCCUUCAUUUUAGAAAGCAAGAAAUUGUUUUAAUGUCAAUUCAAUAAUCAGGCCAAGGCAAAAAUUCCACAAUCAAUUGCUAACAAGCAAACAGAUUAGUGAAGAGCCACAGUUCAUAGCUCUCCAUGUUCAGCCAACACAGAUACUAAUGAUGGGCAGUCAAACAUGAAGUUGCAUCUGUUUUUCUUUUUGUUUUUUGUUUUUUUGCUACCACUUUCCAGGAACAGCUCAGGGCUAUUCUUUCUCUCUAUUUGGUGACUGCCUAGUUGGCACAGUGAAGUAAAGCAGAUGGACAUAGGUUUGCAGGCAGUUAUUCUGAAAGCCAGUAAUUCAUAGUUUGGUAGUAAUGUGCUGUGAAUAGAUAGAUGAGUGAAUAAAUAGAUAAAUAACUUGGGGCUUAUAUUUACUCAAUUCCAUUUUGGAAUAAUGAAGGUAUAAGAAUGUUAUACUCUGAUGAUAAUUUAACAAGGGAUAACUUCCCUUCUUUUACAGUGCAACUAAAGCUUAAAUGAGUUCCAAUUGGAGAUGAACUACCUGGAUUUAUGUAAAUGUUGUCUUAUCCUAUAGCAAUUAAUUCUGUGAGUGAACUCCAGUUGAGCCUAGCAACUGGAUUUAGGCCUAAAACAACAAAUUUUUAAAGUUAUUCUGCAGUUACUCCGUUUGUACUCGCUAAAUGAUUUGGAUGGUGUGAUCUUAAUUGUUGUUUUAACCAUUUAUAUUUUAAUUGUUUGGUUUUAAUUGUAACUGUUUAUUUUGAUGUAUGUGUGCAUGGCAUCAAAUUGCUGCCUGUUGUAAGGCCGCCUUGAGUCUCCUUCAGGGUGAGAAGGGCUGGGUACAACUAUGGCAAAUAAAUAAAUUGCUGAUAAGCAACACUGCAUGGCUUAAGUGUUGCCUUCUGUUCAGCUGGGAGAAGUUGAGGCAGCAACAAGAUUGAUAGUGCAUUUUGUACAAUAAGCCAGCAUCUUGUCAUAUUCCAUUUUUUAAAAGUAACUACACUUACUUUACUAAGUAACUACAGCGGACCCUUGGUACCAACUGGAGUUUAAUUCCAGGACCGCCCGUUGAUAUCAAAAAUCUGUACUUACUCAAGUGCCAUUAUAUACAAUGACAUAGUAAGGCAGCAUCCUUUAUAUAAAAUGGCAAAACUCAAGAUUUGCUUUUCAGAAUUUAGUUUUUUUGGGGGGGAUAUUUUCAAGUCCAUGGAUGGUUGACAGAGGUUACAGAAUACAUGACUAUGGAGGUCUGACUGUAAAUGUAACUAAUCAUUCUUUUGAAAUGAGAAAGUAAAGUGUUAUUUAAAAAAUGGAACCACAACAAAAACUACAAAUUGUCACCAUUAUAAAUAUUACUGCAGAAAAUUAGAAGAAUAACGGUUACCCUUUUUUAAAAGUACUUUCCCAAGCUCUGGACUAGCUCUGGACAAUAUUUUUUACUAUAUGAAAGCAUUGUAUUCCAGCUCUCUGGAUGCUGCUGAGGUCUUUGAGAAGAGACUGAAGGAUGGAGAUGAAACGAAGUCCUGUUUCUGUAAAUAUACUCUCCUCUGUUCCUGAAGGCUUCCUGCUGAAGCUUGUGCUUCAGAAAGAGCAGCUCGUGUUUCACGGCUGUCAUGUGAUCCCCACUCCCUAGUAUAUUUUAAGCCUCUCCUUGACGUCACACUCUUUCCAUCGCAAUAGGAUUCUGCUCAGACUUUUUUUAAGGAUUAGACUUCUACUCUAUAGCUUGCUCCUGUUUAUUAUUCCCAUCACCAUAAGGCUUUGGGUGCUUAAUAAUGCUGAUAAUAACAUUAAGAACUAGCUGCAAUGCAAAUCAAGAGGGGGAGGUGACGUUCUUCUUGCUCUUUAUUCUUCUGGUCACGACAAAAAAUCACUUCUCCUGAGUCACGCUGACCAGCCUCUCCUGUUAUAAAAUCAUAGAGUCAUAGAGUUGGAAAAGACCACAUGGGCCAUCUAGUCCAAUCCCCUGCCAUGCAGGAAGGGCACAAUCAAAGCACCCUUGACAGAUGGCCAUCCAGCCUUGAUUAAAAGCCUCCAAGGAAGGAGCCUCCACCACACUCUGCGGCAGAGUUCUACUGUUGGACAGCUCUUAUGGUCAGGCAGUUCUUCCUAACGUUUGGGUGGAAUCUUCUAUCCUGUAAUUUGAACCCAGUGCUCUGAGUACUAGUUUCCAGGGCAGCAGAAAACAAGUCUGUUCCCUCUUCCUUAUGACAGCCUUUCAAAUAUUAAAACGUGGUGAUCAUGCCUCCUCUCAAACUUCUCUUCUUCAGGCUAAACAUCUCCAGCUCUUUAAGCCGCUCCUCAUAGGGCAUGAUCUCCAGGCCUUUGAUCAUUUUAGUCACCCUCCUCUGGACACCCUUCAGCUUGUCAAUAUCUCUUUUAAACUGUGAUGCCCAGAAUUGGACACAGUAUUAUAGAUGAGGUCUGACCAAAGCAGAAUACAAAGGCACAAUGACUUCCCUAGAUCUAGACACUAUACUGUUUUUGAUGAAGUCCAAAAUCCCAUUGGCUUUUUAUGCUUUUGCAUCAUGCUGUUGAAUCAUGAUCAAUUUGUUGUCCACAAAGACUCCAAGUUCAUUCUCACAUUGUUGAGUCAGGCAUCACCCACUCCAUAUCAGUGCAUGUCUUUGUUUCUAUCUAAGUGAAGUAUCCUACACUUCUCCUUGUUGGAAUACAUUUUGUUAGUUUUGGCUCAGCAAUGUAAUCUACUGAUGUCAUUUUGAAUUCUGAUCCUGUCUUCUGGAGUAUUAGCUAUCCCUCCCAAUUUGGUGUAAUUUGCAAACUUGAUAAGCAUGCCCUCUAAACCUUCCUCCAAGUCAUUAAUAAAGAUGUUGAACAGUACUAGUCCCAGGACCGAACCCCGGGGCACUCCACUAGUCACUUCUUUUCAGAAUGAAGUGAAACCAUUGGUGAGCACCCUUUCGGUUGCUUAACCAAUUACAAAUCCACCAUAUAAUAGUAUUAUCUAGUCUACAUUUUACUAAUUUGUUUGCAAGAAGACCAUGGGGGACCUUGUCAAAGGCUUUACUGAAAUUGAUAUGCUACAUCCACAGCAUUCCCUGCAUCUACCAUGCUUGUAACUCUAUUGAAAAAAAAGAGAUAAGAUUAGUCUGGCAUGACUUGCUUUUCAGAAAAGGGUGUUGUUGACUUUCAGUCAUCACAGCAUUUUUUUUAAGUGAUUGCAGACUGCUUUCACAAUGAUCUGCUACAGAACCUUUCCUGGUAUUGAUGUCAGGCUGGCUGGACAGUAAUUGUUUGGGUCCUUCCCCCCCCCGCCCCUUGAAGAUAGGGACAACAUUUGCCCUCCUCCAGUCUGCUGGGACUUCCAAGAAUUCUCAACGAUUAUUACCAGUGGUUCUGAAAUGACUUCUGCUAGUUCCUUCAACGUUCUUGGAUGUAGUUCAUCUGUCCCUGGAGACUUGAAUUCAUUUGGAGUAGCCAGGUAUUUCUUGACUACUUCUAUACCCAUUUUGGGUUGCAUUUCCCCUAUUACCUCAUCUGCUCCAUAUUGCUCAGGUCGGACACCAAUCUCUUUUUGGGAAAAGACUGAGGCAAAGAAGGUGUUGAACAGCUCUGCCUUUUCCCUAUCACCUGCUAGCAUUUCACCACCUUCUCCACGCAGAGGCCCCACCAUUUCCUUUUUGUUUGUUUUUUUUUUUACUUUUUCUUCCUACUGACAUAACCAAAGAACCAUUUUAAUUGUUUUUAAUCUCUCUACAAGCUUGAGCUCAUUUAUGCUUUAGCCUUUCACACCUUUUCCCUACAUGUGUUGGUUAUUUGUUUGAAUUCCUCUUUGGUGAUCCCCCCCUUUGCAUUUCUUGUGCAUAUCUCUUUUAAAUCUUAGUUCUGUUAAAGGUUCUUUGGUGAAAUGUCCUAAAACACUUCACCAAAGCUUCUUUUCUCAUCUCUUGAACAGUGCCAGCAGUGAAGGGUGCUAAAGACCUAUGCUUCAUACAUUAAAAUGCCUCUUCCUUGUUCUGUGUCAGCUUGACCUUGCUAAAGAAAAAGGAAAGAAAAUAGUUUGUGGGUUAGGUUAGUACAAAUUGAGUAUUCCUUAUCUACAGUGUCUGAGACCAGAAGUACUUUGGAUUUCAGAUUCCCCCCCCCCCCAUUUUAGAAUAUUUGUAUGUACACAAGGAGUUAUGUUGGAUAUGGGAACCAAAUCUAAGCACAAUAUUCAUGUAUGGUUCAUGUACAUUUUAUGCACAUAGCAAUAUUUUUAAUAAUUCUGUGCAUUAAACAAAGUGUUUAUACAUUGAACCAUCAGAAAGCAGAGGUGUCACUAUCUCAGCAACCCAUGUAGAUGAUUUUAGACUUGAAGAAUUUCAGAUUUUAGAUAAUGGAUACUCAACCUAUAUCAUCACUAUUAAGAACUCCAGUGGGAUCCACAAUUCCUUCGGGUGAGAGAGGUGUGGGAAUAGAGAUGAACAGCUGGUCAGGGGUUGAUGCAGGGGACUAGAGACAUAUAACAAAGAUCCACAUUGCACCUUCUAAUAAGCACUGUAUACUGUAUAAGAAGGCAAUAUUUGUGUGUAUUUAAUGCCUACUGAAACACAAUCAAACUUCCUUUCUAGGCCAUCAGUCAUCAGUAGACGUACAGACCUCUAGAGCUUUCUACAACUCUGUGUCUCUAUCUCAGCCAGACUCCCAGAAUGAAAUAUUCUUAUUUUUUGGACUCCAACUCCUGGGGUAUAUCCCCUAGGUACAAUAAAAGCAGUCAAUGUCAUCAUUUUAAUUGCAUUGAUUCUCUCUGAUGGAAUUUUGAGACUUGCAAUUUCACAAGGUGCUCAGAAUUCUUGAGUACAAUCCCCUUGAACUACAACACAAGAUCUCUUUCUGAGGAAAUUAUAAGCCCUUCAUAGAAAUGCAGAACAAACAAUUCUAUAAGAUGGAGACUAGUAAUUAAAAUGGUAUCAAAGCCAGCAUGAUGUUGGGUGUUGUGAAAGGAGUCAAGGAUACUAGGGUUCAAAUUUUCACUUGGAAACAGACUCGAUGAUUGUGAGCAAGUCACAUACUCUCAACUUCAGGUGAAGGCAAUAGUAAACUGGUUCUGAACAAAUCUUGCCAAGAAAACUUCUUAGAGUCUCCAGGAAUCAGAAAUGACUUGGAGGAACACCACAACAUCAACACAAGGACAAUAAUUAUUGUUUGGACAUGCCUUAACAUUUUUAGCCAACAUGGUAAGUAGCUGGGGAUACUUGGAGUUAUAGUCCAAAAGGUUACUUUUCCAGGCUCUGCUUUGAGUUCUCAAUUAUCCCAUUCUCAUUUUGCUUUCCCCCAUGACUCCUUUGCUUCCUCUGUCCUGCUUUGCACCCAAUGCAUACUAAUACGAAGGAAAGGGCAAGCCAGGCAAGUGAUGGAGUUGUCAGUGGCUACUGCUGCUAUUCUUUUUUCUUGUGGUUACCAUUAGUUGGUUCAAUGUUUAAAGAGUCUUAGGGUACAUGGGGAGCCAAAGGAAGGAGAAAAAGAUGAGGGAUGUGGCAGCUAGAGGUUCCAGAAGUGCAGAUCAGCAUUAGGCCUAUAGGAGUGUGGGCAUAGAUAAGCCUUUGGAAAUGCCAGCCCUGAGCCCAUCCUCAGUUAAAUACACUUAAAACUGCAGGCGGGCACAUAUUUUUAGGAAAGAUCAUGACACAUUUCUCUGUUCCUGUAUUUUUGUUCAUUCGCUCAUCCUUCUUGUAGUUAUUUGUCCCAGCUUGCUACCUGGUUUUAUGAGUCAGUCUUCAAUUUGAGACAGCAGCACUGAGGAGUUUCCAAAACAUAGGAAUUGCACAUUAGUUCCUUCCCUUCAGGUGUGUUCUGUGAAAGAAACUGUGUAGAACAGUUAGAAAUCCUGAUUAAGAUGUCAAGGCACCAAUGAUCUGGAAAACAAAUAAAAACUUUAUUACAGGAAUUCCCUUCUCGAUUGGAAAAUUACUCAGGCACUAAUCUAAACAGAGGCCCCUCUGACCUCGAAGGGACCCCCAGCAGCCCAGCCGGACCCCCGUUUCCUGACAGACACCCCUCAGGCGGUGACAGGGCUACAGCAAGAGGAGACCCCCAGCACACUGAUGCCCUCGGAGCCCCCCUUCACCCCGGGGGCUGCAGUGGGCCGGCCAGGGAGACCCCCAACGCCCCAGCAAGGGGCUGCUCCCAGCCAGCCGGCCCCCCGGGGGUCCUCCUCUCCGUCCCACACCACCCUCGCCAUCGUCAGCCUCCUGGGAAUCGCGCUCGUCUUGGUGGCCGUCGUGGUUUCCUUGGUUUGCCGGAGGAGGAGGAGGCGUCAGGAGGGGCCACUCCACCCUGCUGCCCUCGGUGAGGAGACCCAUUGGCUGAACCUUCCCGAGAAGACCUGAAGCCAAAGCUAGCGCACUUUAGUUGCCGGGACCACUUUGUGACGGAGGGGCCGACCACGUUUAUUUAUAUGUCUGUCUGUCUGUCUGUCUAUACUGAGUCCUUGAAGGUACUCCCCCCCUUCCUCCCCCUCCCCUCCUCUGCAUUUCCACUUCCUGUUUUGUUUUCUUUUCACAAAGAAUAUAAAUAAUGGCUUAUUUUUUUAAGCCUGCCCUGCCUUUGUGAGUUUUGUGGCCAUGCCAUUCCUUGUGGGGUGCCCCAUUGAAAAGCACCUUAAAUGUUUAUUUAAAUGUACAAUUAUGCAGGUUUUUAAUGUAUAUUUCAAUUUUUAUUGUAAUUUUUUUUAAGUUUGAAAGACUUUUAAAUCUGAUGUAAACUGUUUUUCUGAAGUAUAUGUUUAUAUUGUAAGCCGCCCUGAGUCCCCUGAUGGGUGAGAAGGGCGGGGUAGAAGUGAUGCAAUAAAUAAAUAAAUAAAUAGCUUCAUUGUAGCAAAGUGCUGAGAGAGAACUGAUGGGUAGAGAAGAAAUCGGGAAAUAUCCAGUUUACAUCAUCUUAGGUAGACUCACACUGGAGCUUUCACGUGGGCAGCCCCGUUCUUCUGGUACGAGCAGAAUUCUGGGAAAUGUAGUUUAGGCCUUUUGAAAACUCUGCUACAGAGGUCCUUGCCUUCCCAAACUACAUUUCUCUGAAAUCGGCUCACACCGGAAGAACAGGAUUGCCUGCAUUACAGCCCCAAUGUGAUAUGGCUGAUAGAGGGAGGACACUUUGAGUCACUGCAUCUUUGUUAUUUAUACCAGCUCUGAGGCAUUUUUGACUCUUCAAUGCUAAGUGUUGUUUGCACUUCCAACAUUCUGUAAAGCACCGAAAGAAGGCUAAGCAUAUGUGGGAUCAAGUACACAAAAAGCCUACAACGGGUAAAACUCAUCAGCAGGAUUAAGUACAUCUAUUUGCACCUUACCUAGCGGUUAGCAUCCACCCAGUUAAAUUGCUGUUUUCCAUCUCUCCCCCAACAAUUUUAGCCUAAUUUUAGAGAUUUUAAAUGAUAUUUUAAAGAUUUAAUAAUAAUCAUGUGGAUUAUUUUAUGUCUUGUUUAUUUAUGUCAGUUUAUAAUUUACUGAGUUGUUCUUGAUUCAUUUCUUGAUUUGUUUACAUGUUACUAUCGGCACUGAAUAUUUGGGGAGAUAGGGUGGGUUAUAAAUAAGGUUUCAAACCUAUUCCAAGGAGAGAUUGGUGUAUUUGUUUGGUACUUCUGUUUUUGUACCACCAGCCCUGCCCCAUGCUGACACAUUUUCAAUUAUAACUUUAAUAUUUUGGGGGGGGGGCACACAAAUCGGUCCUUCUAGGACAUGAGUGGAGGCAUAGCAGAAUCAGCUUAUCAUUGUACUAGAACAGAUAGCCAAGUCCAGUGAAAAGCAAUCUGAGUACCUGCGAGCAGUAAUGAUGCUUUCCACAUGCCCAGAUACGACUGAAAUAGAAGUACCAGCCCACCUGACCAAUGACUUUUUAGUUGUAAAAGAAAAGGGUCUAGAAUUUGUCACUGUUCUCAAAGUUGCUAUGAUGAGUAAUCUAGACAUAAGCGUGAAAAUCACCUCAGUCCGUUUCUAAGCAACUCUUUGAAGAGGUGCCAAAGAGCUACACCAAAGCACACAAGCCAUUUUGUUGCUAUUUAUUUUGCAGGAUUGAGGAGUUCUUGCUAAUUUUGGGCAUCCUGGGCCAGCCAUGUCUUGAACUGUGGAACACACAGCUGAAUGUAUUGUUCAAUUAUGAUAGCAUAGCAUCCUUGUGGGAAGGCUGCUGAAAACAUCACUGACUCAUACAUACAGCUUUAUUUGGGGAAAACAAGGGUGAGAAACAUGCACCCUGCCAAAUGUUGCUGGAUUGUUACUACUGGAAUUCCUCGCUACUGAUUUAUGGGCGGCUGGGACUUACAGUCCAGAGCUAUUUGGAAUGUUCCAUGGCUUUCACUUUUGAAGCAGACCCUAAUAGCCAUUGACAAGCCUUGCUGUAAUGCUUAUGAAUUCACAACAAAUAGGUACCCGUCACAAUCAGUUUUAAAAAUAAAAGAUUUACUGCCAUUUUUGUGAAUAGUGUUAGCUGAGCCUUAAUACUUUUCUUCAUUAUACAGUACAGUAUUAUCAUUUUAGUCAUGGUGUUGUUAUGAGAGCUCAGCUCCACUAAAACUGCAGGUUCAAGGCCCAGAGUGCCAAGCUUCCAAAGGACCAGGUAAGACACAGAUGGACUGAAGGCAAAAUCAAUGGCUUUAUUCUCAUGACCAGAGGGUGUCAGCAGACAGAGUUCUCCAAAGAACCAACACAACACAAUUGCAAAUACAGAGCUUUUUCCCUAUUUGACAGCUAUUCAAGAAAUCUGAGCCACAUCUUUAUUGACAUGGAUCCAGCUAGGAUCCAUGUCCUAGAUAGUUCAGGACUCUGUCUGAUACCAUCGCCUGUUGGCUGCUCAUGGUGGCAGGAAAUUUAAUAAGCUGUCAUUGAAGCAUUUGAAGUAUUGGUCCAUUUAUUGAUCUGCCUCUGAAAGAAGCAUGAUCAGAAAGGAAUGUGGUGUGGCAACUGCCAAAAGGACUGUAAUGGGAUUCAUGGUUUGGCUUUGGUGGACACAAUGGUAACAGUCUAGAGUGCACAAUAGGUACUUGAACAUGAAAAAUAUUCCAUUUCUUGAUCAAAAUACCUUGACAAUGUGACACAGUAUUUAUUUCCGGUAUUUCUACCCUGCCCUUCUCCCCUGGGGGACUCUGGGCGGCUUACAAAUUGGCAACAAAGUGCCAUCACAUCAACAAUACAAUACAAAAGCCAUUAAAAACUAAAAACAUUUAAAACAUCAUAAAAACCAAUAUGCAAUAAUAAAACAUUACCAUGCACCAAGGUAAUGUCCUUUCAUUCACUAGACCUUGUUAAUCCAGAGUCUUAAAAACCGACUGUGCCAAGCUCGAAGUUCAUUCAUUGAAUGCUUGAGCACAUAGCCAUGUCUUUAGUUUUUUUCUGAACCCUAGAAGGGAAGGAACCUGCUGGAUGUCACUGGGGAGGGAGUUCCACAGCAAACAUGCUCUUUAUAUUUGUGACUUUAUAUAGAAAACCUGUGUAGUAUAUAAACAUUGGUUUCUAAGCUUGCAUUAUAUGCUAGCUAUGCAUGCUGCAGUAUUGGAGGUGGGGGUUGGGGUUCACUGAAUCCAUUUUGGUGACUCUUGCUCUCAUCACCAACCUUUUUGAUGCAUUUUGGAUCAUUAAACAAUAGGCUUGAUCGAUCCAUGAAAAAUUUGAUUCUAAACUCGUUUCAAAACUAGAGGGGGGCAGCGUUUCGUUUCUGAAGGUAUUUCCGAAUUUUGCCCCCCAAAAAAUUCGAAAUUAACGAAAAUUCGUUAUUUUCAAAAUUAAUUCGUUAAUGGCAGACGCGCAUGCGCAAUUCCCAAAAACAGCACAGAGGGAGAGGACUUUACAGGACUCUCCCACCCUCAUUUUUUGAGUGAUCUUCUUCAAACUUGGUACAGUGGUAGAACACAUUUAGUACUGAUAGCUCACCAAAAUUUGGAACGUUUCCCUUAUCCUCUGAUUUUUGGAGAAUUUUCAUAGCUUUUAUAAUAAACCAUUUUUUAAUAAUUGCAGAAAUCUGUUCCUGGUUUGAAAGUCUUAUUUCCUGUUAAAUUGGGUUGUCUUUACUGUGAAAGUCAUUGUUCUACUUCAGAAACUUUGUUUUUGUGGCUGAAACUUUGUUAAAUUGGUGUGUGUGUGAUAUAUACUGUGUAUAUAUAUAUAUAUAGUCCCUGCAUAUGUGUGUGUGUGUGUGUGUGUGUAUAGGUAAAGGUAAAGGUAUCCCUUGACAUUAAGUUCAGUCAUGUCUGACUCUGGGGGUUGGUGCUCAUCUCCAUUUCUAAGCCCAAGAGCCAGUGUUGUCCAUAGACACCUCCAAGGUCAUGUGGCCGGCAUGACUACAUGGAGUGCCAUUACCUUCCCAGAAACACCCAGAAAAUGGGAAUUCCAGACAGGAAACAAUCAGGGCCAGCUAAUACCUCCCAACAAAGGAUUCCCCCAGGUAGGAAGCAGCCAGGCUUUGAAGCUGCAAGGCUAUUCAAUGCUAAUCAAGGUGACUAAUUGCAGCAUUCACACUUGCCUCCCACAGACAAGAGUUCUUUCUCCCACCCUGGACCUUCCACAGAUAUAUAAACCCCACUUGCCUAGCUUCGCACAGACGUCAAAACCUCUAUGUCUGCCACAGAUGUGGGUGAAACGUCAGGAGAGAAUGCUUCUGGCACAUGGCCAUAGAGCCCGGAAUACAUACCACAACAGUGUGAUCCCGGCCAUGAAAGCUUUCGACAACACAACCACAAAAUAAGAAAAAACGGCCUCUUGCGAUUCGAAACCGCGAUAUCCAGACGUGUGGACAAUCAAGGCCGUAUAUUGCUUCAAAACAAACGAAAAUAACGAAUUAAUAACGGGUAACGGGGAAAUCGAAUUAUUUGAGCAAGCCUAUUAAACAAUACCAGCUUCCAAUUCUGGUCACAUCUCCAUUUCUCUGGCUUUGUGUUUACAAACAGAAUUACUGCUGUGUACUAAUUAAAUACUUCGUGACUACCAAUUUAAUUUUAUUCAUAGGGAUUAUUCCAGCUCUGUUUGGAGGGGAAGGGUAGAGAGUAAAGUGCCAUUAUAAAUGUCUGGGCUCUGUUAUUAGAGCAGGGCUAGAUGCUGAGCUGCAUGUUUUUGAUACCACUUGGAAGUGCAUUGGAAAAGGGUUUUGCACAAACAAGGAGUCCAGGACGACCUCCUUUAAAAAAAACAUUUUCCUACAUGAUGGUUAAUUUCCAUAUAGAAAAAGAUAUAAGUUUGGUUAUUCAUAUUGCUGAUGGCUCCAUAGGCAGGAAAAUUCUCACUAUACCCUUCUGAGUAAUUUCUUGAAAAAUUAACUAAAACAGUUUGAAACAAUAACUCAGAAUAAAGCCAUUACCAUAAAAGUCAGCAUUUUUUAAAUUUAAAAAUCUUGUAAAGCAGGCAAUUUUUUUUAAAAAAAACUUUACAAGGUAGGCAGUUUAUAACCCUACAGAAGUUAUUGUACUGCAACUCAUAAAAUUCAUCUCCCAUUAGCUCCUGUUGUUUAAGGAUGGUAGGAAUUUCAUUCAUAUAGUAUCUGAAAAGGGAACAUUUGCUGUGUACUCUUACCUUUGAACUACAGGCAGAUUCCUUUCCCCCCCAUAUUUACUAUCAGAGGGAUUAAGGCUCCAUUUACACUGUCAUAUAAUGCAGCUUGAAACUGCAUUAUAUGAGUUACACUAACCAUUAUAUGAUUAGUGUUGACUGAUAUAAUGCAGUUUUAACUGCAUUAUAUGAGUCUACACUGACCAUAUAAUGCAAUUUCAAACUGCACUACGAUGACAAUGUAGAUGGGGAGUUAUGGAAACCUGAGAGAAUUAAGGUCUCUGAAGUAAUACACUAUGUCAUAGACUCCACAGCACCUUUAGACAUCACCAUACCCAAAUUAUAAUGGCUAUGUAAUAUAACAAAUUGUAUGACUACAGUAGAAUCUCGACUUAAGAACAUCCCAACUUAUGAGUGUUUUGAGUUAAGAGCCAUCACCCAACCCAGGUUUCACUUUGACAUACUAGCAGAGUUUUGAGUUAAGUGCUAGUGCCAGAGUACAUGGCUUUAGGGGUUCAAGAGAGCAGCCUCUGUGCCUUGUGCCUCAUGCUCUUGUUGCUUUGGGAUAUUGUUGUCUGCUUUGCUCUUGUUCGCUUUGAGGAACAUUAGGUUAGUUGAUUUUGUGUGGUUUUAAUUCCUGGUAUGUUUGGCUUCAAGAAGAGAGAGAAGGAAAGAGAGCAAGAGAAGGAGGGAGGCUGGAAUGAGCUAGCGGAUAGUUAAUUCAGAGGGAUACUAUGACAAAUUGAAAUCCAUGUCAUUCAUCAAGCAGCUUACAGAAAUCAGCUUAAGCCAUGUGAAGAAACAGCAACUAGCUAAAAUCUAGAGAAGAUUCAAGUUGGGGAGUAAAUACUAUAGUUCUGCUUAGAAGGUGAGUGAUACUAAUCUCUCGUGUGUAGUUAUCAGUGGCUAAAAACUCAGUGGCACACAGUACUUUCCCUAAUAUGUUGCCAUAUUUUUGUCUAGAAAAGGUGUAUGGUGGUGAUGGUUCACAGUUCUUCAAAAUGUUUGCUUCAGUACAAAACUGGGAAGCUGACACAUGCACAGUUGGAGUUCCUGCCUGUGUUAUCUGAAAACCAGCUAGCCAUUUGCAGACAUGCAGUCCUCUUCCACCUGCUUUUUCUAUAAAAACAAAGAACACGGUUAGAUUUAAGAUACAAAGGGAUGAGGUAUAUAGGGGGGAAAAUCCAUGGCAACGAGCAUCCUCCAGUACUCUCAGGCCUGCCAGAGAAAUUCACAGGAUGUUGAUGGAGACCUUGAGAUAUUAUAUCUGCGAUAUUGCUCUUUUAAAUUGCAGUGUCAGAGCUGGCACUAGUGCAAAGUGCACAUUGAAUCACAUGUAACCUGAUAGUGGGUGGAUUUGAUGUAGAAUCAGUUUUAGCUGUGUGCUUUUUUCUAAUGUUAAUAACAUUAUGUUAUUUAUCAGAGCACAACUGAAACAAUUUUGCUUUUCUUUAAAGCCCUCCCUUUCUGCUGCCGUUUCAGGAAAUGUGCACAAACAUGUUUAGAAAGACAGACAGGACAAUCUGUUGCCAAGAGAAUUUGGCUGAUGCUUCCUGCUUUAUUGCUCUGAUCUAUCAGAGUAUUAAAUGACAAGAGAAGUAGCCUAACAUAGGAACUAAUGGUUUAUGAACCAGCCUAUUGCCCGUGUUACCUUUACAUCUAUAUAUAUAAAAGAGUGAUGGCAUCACGGCAAUUCACAAAACAACAAAAGUACAGGCCCCCCAACCUCAAAAUUUGACAACACAACCCAUCAUCCACGCCUCAAGGUUGAUACAACAAAAAGAAAAGAAAAAUAAAGUCCUAAUUAGAGGGAGAGCAAUAAUAGUUUUUAUCCAAUUGCUGCCAGUUUAGAGGGCUAAUCUCUGCCCACUUGGUUGCCUAGCAAUCAAGGGACAGCCAGGUUUCAGUUAGGGGACAGGCGGAUGUAGGCCUCAGGCUUCUUCCACAGAUUAUCUAAUUUGCACUGGAUUAUAUGGCAGUGUAGACUCAAGGCCCUUCCACACAGCUAUAUAACCCAUUUAGAAUCUUAUAUUAUCUGCUUUGCACUGGAUUAUCUUGACUCCGCACUACCAUAUAAUCCACUUCAGUGUGCAUUUUAUCCAGCUGUGAAGAAGGGGCCUCAGAUAAUCCAGUUCUGAGCAGAUAAUUUAAGAUUAGAAAUAUACAGUAGAGUCUCACUUAUCCAACGUAAACAGGCUGGCAGGAUAAGUGAAUAUGUUGGAUAAUAAGAAGAGAUUCAGGAAAAGCCAAUUAAACAUCAAAUUAAGUAAUCGUUAUACAAAUUAAGCACCAAAACAUCAUAUUAUACAACAAAUUUGACAGAAAAAGUAGUUCCAUGCGCAGUAAUGCUAUGUAGUAUUUACAGUAGAGUCUCACUUAUCCAACACUCGAUUAUCCAACGUUCUGGAUUAUCCAACGCAUUUUUGUAGUCAAUGCUUUCAAUAUAUCGUGAUAUUUUGGUGCUAAAUUCAUAAAUACAGUAAUUACUAUAUAGCAUUACUGUGUACUGAACUACUUUUUCUGACAAAUUUGUUGUCUAACAUGAUGUUUUGGUGCUUAAUUUGUAAAAUCAUAACUUAAUUUGAUGUUUAAUAGGGUUAUCCUUAAUCCCUCCUUAUUAUCCAACAUAUUCGCUUAUCCAACGUUCUGCUGGCCCGUUUAUGUUGGAUAAGUGAGACUCUACUGUACUGUAUUUACAAAUUUACCACUAAAAUAUCUCAAUGAAUUUAAAACACUGACUACAAAAACAUUGAUUAUGAAAAGGCAGACUGCGUUGGAUAAUCCAGAACAUUGUAUAAGCAAAUAUUGGAUAAGUGAGAUUCUUCUUUAAUAUGAAAUAAUUACUGGGAUAGAAUAAUGCAGAACAAUAUAAUCUCUAAAACCAGGACAGUAAAUAAACAGGGGAAUUCCACACAGGAAACAAUCAGGGCCAGCUAACACCUCCCAACAAAGUAUUCCCAUCAUCAAAGUCUGGCAAAUCCUGUUUUCUCAGGGCCACAGACAGUAGAAGCACAUAAAAUAUCGCAAACAACACCACUCUGAAAACAAGGGAAUUCCAGACAGGAAACAAUCAGGGCCAGCUAACACCUCCCAACAAAAAAUUCACUCAGGGAGGAAACAGCCAGGCUUUAAAGCUGCAAGGCCAUUACAUCCUAAUCAUUUUUCCUAAUUGCAGCAUUCAUACUUGCCUCCAACAAACAAACAAAAAAACCAAUCAGAAAUAUUGUAUAUUCACAACCUUUAGGAAAUAAUAUCCCCUGAUGGCGCAGCAUGUUAAAGCACUGAGCUGCUGAACUUCUGGACCGAAAGGCCACAGGUUUGAAUUGGGGGAGCGGAGAGAGCCCCCACUGUUAGCUCCAGCUUCUGCCAACCCAGAAGUUCGAAAACAUGCAAAUGUGAGUGCAUCAAUAGGUACUGCUCCGGCAGGAAGGUAACACCGCUCCAUGUAGUCAUCCCACAUGACCUUGGAGGAGUCUACGGACAACGCCGGCUCUUCGGCUUAGAAAUGGAGAUGAGCACCAACCCCCAGAGUAAGACACGACUGGACUUAAUGUCUGGGGAAAACCUUGACCCUUGACCUUAACUACCACCAAUUCCUCAAGACUUUAUUUCCCAUACCACCAGACUUCGCCACAGCAACGCGUGGCCGGGCACAGCUAGUCCAGAGUAUAAAAUGAAUAACAUUGUCACACUGUUGUUGUGUGCCUUCCAAGUUCCUUCCCAGGUAUGGUGACCUUAAGGCAAACCUAUAGCAAGAGCAUCUGGGGCUGAAAAUGUGUCUCACCCAAGGUCACUCAGUGGGCUUCCAUAGCCAAAUGGGAAAUCAAAUGCUGGUUUUCAGAAUUGUUGCCCAAUGCUCAAACCAUACCACCAUGCUAGUUUAUGUAACAUAUUACCCUAUGCAGUGGUAUGACAACACUGAUAGCAAGAUGCUCAGUUACUUCAGAUGAAACAAGUGGAUGGAAGAUGUCUUUGGAAAAACAGCAGGGGUAGCCAACAGAGACAAACAUGUGAAAAAGAGACUGUGGGUGUAUGUAUGCUGGAUAUUAAAAGAACUGCUUCGUCUCCCUGAAAAAACAUACCUCCAUGCUUCAUUCAUCUUCAUUAUUUUUUUAUUCUAGUUCAGUAUCACCAUCCCCAUUUCCUCCUCUCCCUCAGCACUGUUAUCAUCAUCAAGUAUACUCAGAGCUCUUUCAGUGUUGUUAUCCAUCCAGAAGUGCUUGUGGUUCAGUCUGAGUUGCUUGUUCCCUCCUAUUUGCAGCUACAGGGACUUGGCUGGGAUGCUUCUCUUGCUGUGGAAACUCACUUGUAAUCUCAGCCUCAGUUUCCUUGGGAUUCAGAAUAUCCCUGGCUAACUCUUCAAUGUUUUUCAAACUCAAUAAGCCAAGGCUUUUGUAGUAGUCAUUCACGACUCUUUCAAGAACUUUUAUGGCAUCAGAGGUUCUGAAGUGGUUCUCCAGGACUUGGGAGAGCUGGUACCACACAGAAUGGGCCUGGGCAAAGGUGGGUUUUGAGGGCUCAUUCAGAGGCGUUAGCUGAGGUUUUUUAAUGGCAAGAUAGAGGACGGAUUCUGGGCCAAUAGAAUAAUCUGACAAUCUGUGGUCCUCAUCUAGCACUUUGCCCUGAAACAACAAAGUGGUCUGAUCCUCAGGGACCUUCAGUUCUUCUGAAACCAGGCUUUUCAACAGAGAGAUGCUCUCGUGACCGGAUACCUGGAGGCAGCACUGCUGUCCUAGCAGCCUCUUCACCUUGAGCUGCAUGGUUUUGCUUGAAGGGCAAGAAAGAUAAUCCCUGGUCAUAUAGAGGAUAGUCAACCCUACAGGUAGGACACAAAGAAAGGAAUUCAUUGGUUGACUUUUUGCUGAUGUCACAAUUCUAUCAGGGUCCAGUGUCUGAUAAAUAUUCCCUCUGUCUAAACUUUACCCACAGAACUAGUAAUUACAACAUGGUUAUCCCAUUUUUGUUCUAUUGUUUCAGGUCACCAGAGGAGACCCCCUAACUCUACAAAAGUGGCUGACACGUAACCACCAGAAGUCCAUGGUUUAAGAGUCAACACACUGUCUGUACUCCUAAACACUUAAUAUUAGGGAGAAAGUACAGUAAAAUUCCUGUGUUAACUACUUC